GGACAACUUACCCAAGAGUCCGGGAUAACCCCGGGAAACUGGGGAUAAUACCGGAUAGAUCAUCUUUGCUGGAAGGCUUGGUGGUUGAAACUUCCGGGGCUUUUGGAUGGGUCUGCGGCUGAUUAGGUUGUUGCCGGUGUAACGUACCGUCAAGCCUGUAAUCAGUACGGGUUGUGGGAGCAAGAGCCCGGAGAUGGAUUCUGAGACACGAAUCCAGGCCCUACGGGGCGCAGCAGGCGCGAAAACUCUACAAUGCAGGCAACUGCGAUAGGGGAACAUCGAGUGAUCCUCAUAUUGGGGGUCUGUCCACCUGUCUAAAAAACGGGUGUUAGCAAGGGCCGGGCAAGACCGGUGCCAGCCGCCGCGGUAAUACCGGCGGCUCGAGUGGUGGCCGAUAUUAUUGAGUCUAAAGGGUCCGUAGCCGGCUUUGCAAGUCUCUCGGGAAAUCCAGCGGCUUAACCGUUGGUCGUCCGGGGGGUACUACAUUGCUUGGGACUGGGAGAGGUAGGAGGUACUCGGGGGGUAGGGGUGAAAUCCUGUAAUCCUCCGGGGACCACCGGUGGCGAAGGCGUCCUACCAGAACAGGUCCGACGGUGAGGGACGAAAGCUAGGGGCACGAACCGGAUUAGAUACCCGGGUAGUCCUAGCCGUAAACGAUGCCCGCUAGGUGUCACGACGGUCGUGAAUCGUCGUGGUGCCGUANGGAAACCGCGAAGCGGGCCACUUGGGGAAGUACGACCGCAAGGUUGAAACUUAA
rnacentral:rRNA from 1 species